rnacentral:rRNA from 1 species
UACGUAGGGUGCGAGCGUUAAUCGGAAUUACUGGGCGUAAAGCGUGCGCAGGCGGUGAUGUAAGACCGAUGUGAAAUCCCCAGGCUUAACCUGGGAACUGCAUUGGUGACUGCAUCGCUCGAGUAUGGCAGAGGGGGGUAGAAUUCCACGUGUAGCAGUGAAAUGCGUAGAGAUGUGGAGGAAUACCGAUGGCGAAGGCAGCCCCCUGGGUCAAUACUGACGCUCAUGCACGAAAGCGUGGGGAGCAAACAGG